GCAACAAACCUGUGAAAAUCCCAUCACUGGUCAACCUCACACACUUUCUUCCAACACCCAAAAAUCACCUGUCAAAACCAAUUUCCAAAUCUCUGCCAAGUCAAAAAGUGUUCGCUUCCUCACUCUCCUCCGCUCCGUCCCUCCACAUCUCCCCAACUUUCUCUGCAAAUCUUUCAACAACCAAAACGAGGAAAAAGACGAGAAUUUUUUGAAAACUAUAGGGAAGAAGAGGCCCGGAAGAUAUCAGGUAUGUGUGGGAUUUUUGCAUAUUUAAAUUUUGACGUUAGGAGGGAGAGACGCUACAUUUUGGAACUGCUUUUCAAUGGCCUACGCCGCUUGGAGUACAGAGGCUAUGAUUCCGCAGGAAUAUCUAUUGAUUCUUCGUUUAGUUUGGAUUGCGACGCCGUCCCUCCCCCUCUGGUCUUCCGCCAAGAAGGCAACAUCGAGUCACUUGUCAAAUCUGUCUACCAAGACGUUUCCUUGACGGGUUUGAAUUUGGAAGAGUCAUUCUCGAUUCAUGCUGGAAUAGCACAUACUCGGUGGGCUACGCAUGGGGAGCCAGCUCCAAGGAAUAGUCAUCCCCAGUCCUCUGAUCCAGGAAAUGAGUUUUUGGUUGUUCAUAAUGGAGUUAUAACCAAUUAUAUGGUGUUAAAAGAGACACUAGUUCGUCAAGGUUUCAGUUUUGAAUCUGAAACAGAUACAGAAGUCAUACCAAAGCUUGCAAAGUUCAUCUUUGAUAAUACGAAAGAAGAAGGUGACAAGAGUGUGACAUUUAGUCAAAUUGUACUUGAAGUUAUGAGACAUCUGGAAGGAGCCUAUGCUCUCAUUUUCAAAAGUCGGCACUAUCCAAAUGAAUUGAUUGCAUGUAAACGUGGUAGUCCACUGCUCCUUGGCGUAAAAGAAUUAAGUGAAGAAGCCAGUAUUGGAGCGUCUUUUGACGACACUAAAUUUCUUUCGAGCAACGGGCAACCGAAGGAAUUGUUCCUGUCAAGUGAUCCCAGUGCCCUAGUGGAGCACACAAAAAAGGUCUUGGUGAUCGAGGAUGGUGAAGUUGUUCAUCUGAAGGAUGGACGUGCAUCAAUUUUCAAGUUUGACCGUGCUAAAGGUGAACAUGCUGGAGCUUUGGCUCGGCCAGAUUCUGUUCAACGUGCAUUAUCGGUUCUGGAAAUGGAAGUUGAACAAAUUAAUAAAGGGAAGUAUGAACAUUACAUGCAGAAAGAAAUCCAUGAACAACCAGAAUCUCUUACAACAACAAUGCGAGGGAGGCUCAUACGUGGAGGAUCAUGCAAAUCCAAGAGUGUCCUCCUAGGGGGUAUAAAGGAUCAUCUCAAAACCAUAAGGAGAAGCAGAAGGAUAGUUUUCAUUGGCUGUGGCACAAGUUAUAAUGCUGCUUUAGCUGCAAGGCCCAUUUUAGAAGAACUUUCUGGUAUUCCUGUAUCAGUAGAAAUUGCUAGUGAUCUACUAGAUAGGCAGGGGCCCAUAUACAGAGAAGAUACAGCUAUCUUUGUUAGUCAAUCAGGUGAAACUGCUGAUACUUUACAGGCAUUGGAAUAUGCAUUAGAAAAUGGUGCAUUAUGUGUUGGCAUCACAAAUACUGUCGGUAGCGCAAUUGCCAGGCACACCCACUGUGGUGUUCAUAUAAAUGCUGGCUGUGAGAUAGGUGUUGCAAGUACUAAGGCAUACACAAGCCAAAUUGUAGUCAUGGCUAUGUUGGCUCUUGCAAUUGGAGAUGACACAUUAUCUAGUCAAGCAAGAAGGGAAGCGAUUAUAGAUGGUCUAUUUGACUUGCCAAGUAAAGUGAAAGAUGUUCUCAAGCUUGACCAGGAAAUGAAAAAUCUUGCGCAGUUGCUGAUUGCUGAGCAAUCACUUCUUGUUUUUGGAAGAGGAUAUAACUAUGCAACAGCUUUGGAAGGUGCCUUGAAGGUAAAAGAAGUAGCGCUUAUGCAUAGUGAAGGAAUACUUGCUGGUGAGAUGAAACAUGGACCCUUGGCUUUAGUUGAUGAAACUCUACCUAUUGUUGUUGUUGCCACCCGAGAUGCUUGUUUCAGCAAGCAGCAGUCAGUCAUUCAGCAACUUCAUGCUCGGAAGGGUCGACUUAUAGUGAUGUGCACUAAAGGAGAUGCAUCAUCUGUGUGCGUUGGUGGAUCUUGCCGUGUAAUUGAAGUUCCUCAGGUUGAGGACUGUCUACAACCUGUGAUUAACAUAGUUCCCUUGCAGCUUCUGGCAUAUCAUCUAACCGUACUACGAGGAUACAAUGUUGAUCAGCCCAGAAAUCUGGCAAAGAGUGUGACUACUCAGUGAUAUAUGUGAUCUUCCCCUCUUGCAGUUUCUUUAACAUGUCCCGGACAGACCUCAUCUGCUAUCUUUUGCUAAGCUGCUCCGUGUUCGACCUCUUCCAAUAUACCAUUUCCAGGGAAGUGAGUUUGAAGCGUGACAACGGCAUAUAGGAGCCUGUCCCGCACGGAUCAAGUGAUCUUGUGACAGAUGACUGUACAGUAACAUAUUGCUGAAACGUCGUCGGUAAAUUAUUCAUGUUUUCUGUAAUCACUGUAUCCAUCAGCCCCGACCCGUAUUUGUUUAUGAAACUCAAAUUGUUCAUUCUCUGUUCUUUGCAACUACUUCUACAACUGCAUUGUUUUUCGUUAUUCCGGUGUAGUAAGUUUGUGAAGACAGGUAACAUGAAAGAACGUGAAUACUUCACAACAAACGACGCCAACGGCAGACGCUGUAUGAUUAUAUAUGCAUCAGAGCUCACACUUUGUUUGGAUCUGUUCCUAGU